rnacentral:rRNA from 1 species
UCCGUAGGUGAACCUGCGGAAGGAUCAUUAAUGUAU